CUAGCGUUGCUCGGAAUCACUGGGCGUAAAGCGCACGUAGGCGGAUUGUUAAGUCAGGGGUGAAAUCCUGGAGCUCAACUCCAGAACUGCCUUUGAUACUGGCGAUCUCGAGUCCGGGAGAGGUGAGUGGAACUGCGAGUGUAGAGGUGAAAUUCGUAGAUAUUCGCAAGAACACCAGUGGCGAAGGCGGCUCACUGGCCCGGUACUGACGCUGAGGUGCGAAAGCGUGGGGAGCAAACAGG
rnacentral:rRNA from 1 species